GACAGAGGUUGCAAACGUUGUUCGGAAUCACUGGGCCUAAAGCGCACGUAGGCGGUCUGUUAAGUCAGGUGUGAAAGCCCCCGGCUCAACCGGGGAACAGCAUUUGAUACUGGCAGACUCGAGGAUGGUAGGGGUGAGUGGAACUCCAGGUGGAGCGGUGAAAUGCGUAGAUAUCUGGAGGAACACCGGUGGCGAAAGCGGCUCACUGGACCAUCACUGACGCUGAGGUGCGAAAGCUAGGGUAGCAAACGGG
rnacentral:rRNA from 1 species